rfam:Trichobilharzia regenti genome assembly, scaffold: TRE_scaffold0083135
AUCCAGCUGAUGACAAGUCCCAAAUAGGACGAAAUGCGCAUCCUGGAU